rnacentral:rRNA from 1 species
GACGAACGCUGGCGGCGUGCUUAACACAUGCAAGUCGAACGGAAAGGCCCUGCUUUUGUGGGGUGCUCGAGUGGCGAACGGGUGAGUAACACGUGAGUAACCUGCCCUUGACUUUGGGAUAACUUCAGGAAACUGGGGCUAAUACCGGAUAGGAGCUCCUGCUGCAUGGUGGGGGUUGGAAAGUUUCGGCGGUUGGGGAUGGACUCGCGGCUUAUCAGCUUGUUGGUGGGGUAGUGGCUUACCAAGGCUUUGACGGGUAGCCGGCCUGAGAGGGUGACCGGGCAAAAUUGGGCUGGGGAACGGCCCAGGCUCCUACGGGGGGCAGGAGGUGGGAAUAAUGCACAAUGGGGGGGAGCCUGAUGCAGCAACGCCGUGUGCGGGAUGACGGCCUUCGGGUUGUAAACCGGUUUCGCUCAUGACGAAGCUGUGUGUGACGGUAGUGGGUAAAGAAGCACCGGCUAACUACGUG